rnacentral:tRNA from 1 species
UACAUUUUAUUAUACGAUGUAUAAAGGUUUUUGAAACCUAAGGAAAUAGUUUGAUUCUAUUAAAUGUAA